CCACAGAGGCGAGGGAGGGGUGUAUAAACAAGAGACAAAAGUAUUCUGUGAUAUUUAACAGAUAUGGAUAUGUGAACCACAAAGACGUCUAUAAAACGGACACUACCCCUGUCGUUCAUAGCCGCACAAGAUUUAUGACUUCGACCACACGUAGCAGCUGUAAACUGCAACUUUAAAAAGAUGCAUUUCGUGUAGGUACUCCAAUAGAAAGGCUCUUACCCGACGUAGGAGGAGAACAGGGGAGAAAAAUGUAGGUGUUUGCAACUUUUUUCUUUUGCAUUGUUAGUGACUUUGCAGCAAAAACUAAAGCUCGGAAAAGGAAAGGAACCCCUACUACUGACAACAUCAAAAUUGUGUUUUGCUUUUCAGAGUCAAAGAAACGGGACUACUCGGGAUGAACUGUGAAAAAUCUGCCGACUAAUUUUACGGAAAUAGUCGUAAACCCUCAUUCUGGAUUACUGUCUUACUACCGUUUCUUGCUGAUUAUUUCGAUCCAUUAUCCAAAUAAUAAAAGCUUCAUUUGAAAUGUUUUGGAA